CGUGUAGGUGGUUUUGUAAGUCGAAUGUGAAAUCUCACGGCUCAACCGUGAAAUUGCGUUCGAAACUACAAGACUUGAGUUAGGGAGAGGUGUACGGAAUUCCUGGUGUAGCGGUGGAAUGCGUAGAUAUCAGGAAGAACACCAAUGGCGAAGGCAGUACACUGGCCUGUAACUGACACUGAGGCACGAAAGCGUGGGGAGCAAACAGGAUUAGAUACCCUGGUAGUCC
rnacentral:rRNA from 1 species